AACCAUGCAUUGAGCACAAAAUGAACUAUUCUUUCGCCUUUUACUAAAGAAUACCGUGUGCUCGUCACUUUAAAUGGUAUACGCCUAUUUUUGAAGGACGCACCUCUGUGGGUGCAC